CCUACGGGAGGCAGCAGUGGGGAAUCUUGUGCAAUGGACGAAAGUCUGACACAGCCACGCCGCGUGCGGGAAGAAGGCCUUCGGGUUGUAAACCGCUUUCAGCAGGAACGAAAAUGACGGUACCUGCAGAAGAAGAUGCGGCCAACUACGUGCCAGCAGCCGCGGUGAUACGUAGGCAUCAAGCGUUGUCCGGAUUUAUUGGGCGUAAAGAGCUCGUAGGCGGUUCAGCAAGUCGGGUGUGAAAACUCUGGGCUUAACCCAGAGCCUGCACUCGAAACUGCUGUGACUAGAGUUCGGUAGGGGAGCAGGGAAUUCCUAGUGUAGCGGUGAAAUGCGCAGAUAUUAGGAGGAACACCAAUGGCGAAGGCACUGCUCUGGGCCGAUACUGACGCUGAGGAGCGAGAGCGUGGGUAGCAAACAGGAUUAGAUACCCUGGUAGUCCACGCCGUAAACGAUGGGCACUAGGUGUGGGUCUCUAACCAACGAGAUCUGCGCCGUCGCUAACGCAUUAAGUGCCCCGCCUGGGGAGGUACGGUCGGUCGAGACGUUAAAACGUAAAAGGUUAAAGUUAGUACGGCGNGAGACGUUGACCGACGGACGACGACGAGGGGAGGUUAGG
rnacentral:rRNA from 1 species